GAAAGAUUCAUCGGAAGAGGAUGGGCAUGCGGCGCAUUAGCUAGACGGCGGGGUAACGGCCCACCGUGGCGACGAUGCGUAGGGGUUCUGAGAGGAAGGUCCCCCACACUGGUACUGAGACACGGACCAGACUCCUACGGGAGGCAGCAGUGAGGAAUAUUGGUCAAUGGGAGAGAUCCUGAACCAGCCAAGCCGCGUGAGGGAAGACGGCCCUAUGGGUUGUAAACCUCUUUUGUCGGAGAACAAAACCCGGGACGAGUCCCGGACUGCGUGUAUCCGAAGAAAAAGCAUCGGCUAACUCCGUGCCAGCAGCCGCGGUAAUACGGAGGAUGCGAGCGUUAUCCGGAUUUAUUGGGUUUAAAGGGUGCGUAGGCGGUCUGUUAAGUCAGCGGUAAAAUUGCGGGGCUCAACCCCGUCGAGCCGUUGAAACUGGCAGACUUGAGUUGGCGAGAAGUACGCGGAAUGCGCGGUGUAGCGGUGAAAUGCAUAGAUAUCGCGCAGAACUCCGAUUGCGAAGGCAGCGUACCGGCGCCAGACUGACGCUGAGGCACGAAAGCGUGGGGAUCGAACAGGAUUAGAUACCCUGGUAGUCCACGCAGUAAACGAUGAAUGCUGGUUGUCCGGGUCGAAUGAGACCUGG
rnacentral:rRNA from 1 species